UAACUAAUGCAUAACUAGUUGACAGACAUCAUUACAGCGUGAAAUCCAGCUUGUGACCCGGUUCCGUGAGGAAUUCUGUUCAGGAGGUUGCAUUUCAGGCUCUCCACAUCAUAUGUGUCUGACUUUUACGUUAUAAUAACGAUCAAACACUAUGAAUGUUAUAAAGCGCCUAUAUAGGACAGUUUCUUUUGUAUAUUAUCUGACUUUAUAAACAACAACAAUGUGCUUCUAUUUUUUUUUCAGACUAAAUCUACCCAAGACACUGGCUGUCAGACUGAUUUAGCUGCAAGAAUGCACUUGCCCAGCCUGGCGUGAAGCCUUACCCAUAGCAAAGGUGAAUUAUUUUUAAUAAUCUUCUAUGUAAACAUUUUAUUAUUACCUUCUAGUUUUAAUUUGUUUUACAGAUUAUUGUUACACAUGAUUUUAUGCUCUUUUAAACAUUUAUAAAUGUGCUACUUCUUUGUUUUUUACAUAGCCAGCCAGAAUAGAGCUCACAGCCGCAGUGUGUCUUGUGACACAGGGACCAUGACGGAAAUUCAUCUUCCAGAAGGUCCCAGAGCAGCAUCCACACCCCUGAAAAGACCAAGAUGUGAGGUGUCUGCUGUUGAUUCCAGCGUCCACCUCAGUGACAGUGCAAGCUCAGUGAACUGUUCAAGGUAAAAAAAAUUAAAACAUUUCAGAAUUUUUAAGAUAUUAACAAUUAAAUAAGUAUGUGAUUACAUCAUGAAGGAGGCUACUGAUUCUGGCCCUGUGACACUUGGUGGUGACGUGUGAGCUGAUUCACCUGGACACUCAGCAAAAUAUGGACUCUACACCAUGAGGCAGGCACACGUUAAUACUCUAUAAGAGCACAUAAGCCUGGCUGAUCACCCGAUAACUCAUGUCAUCUGGUUGUGACAGCAUGAGGAUGUCCUCACACACCUGUAACCUAUCAGCUCUUCUGGCAGAAUAGAGAGAGAAGAGACAACACCACAUCUCCUGUUCCUGGAAAGCCUUCAGCCAUCCUUCGAUGACUGAGAACCUCCAUCAGCUGUCUCUCUUGUCUGCCCACAAUUAUUAUAAUAAAUAUUGCAUUUGACAAGUUUUUUCUGCUGCCAAAUAUCUCAUUUUGAUUCCAGUUUUGAUAUUUUAAUGGAUAUUUAUAAAUUACAUUAAUUGAAUUAUGACAUUGUUGCAUGUUUAACUAGCUCUAUUGUGAUGAAUUAAACUAGCACCUCACUGUUAAAAGCUCAUUUUAAUUUCAAGCAUGUUUAAGUAUUUAUGGACAUGAACAAAAACAGGAAAUAUAUAAAUUGAGAUUUAUUUAAUUAAUAUAACAAAUAAGGGGGAAAGAGUCAUUGAAAGGCACAUUCUUCUGGAAGCUCCUGAUCCUGACGACACCAGCAGAGGAGACCAGCUGCAGACACCAGAGGAUCACCUACGACCAAGAGAGCAGCUGGUAUCAGUAAAUAAAUAAUGAA